UACGUAGGGUGCAAGCGUUGUCCGGAAUUAUUGGGCGUAAAGAGCUCGUAGGCGGUCUGUCGCGUCUGCUGUGAAAACUCGGGGCUUAACCCCGGGCCUGCAGUGGGUACGGGCAGACUAGAGUGCGGUAGGGGAGACUGGAAUUCCUGGUGUAGCGGUGAAAUGCGCAGAUAUCAGGAGGAACACCGGUGGCGAAGGCGGGCCUCUGGGCCGUAACUGACGCUGAGGAGCGAAAGCGUGGGGAGCGAACAGG
rnacentral:rRNA from 1 species